GUUUUUUUUGGCGCAACGGUAGCGCGCCUGACUCCAGAUCAGGAAGCUGCGUGUUCAAAUCACGUCGAGAUCA
rfam:Daphnia pulex DAPPTscaffold_889_Cont11356, whole genome shotgun sequence.